rnacentral:rRNA from 1 species
UCGAAGGUAGCAUAAUCAGUAGUCUUUUAAUUGAAGGCUGGUAUGAAUGGUUGGACGAAAUAUUAACUGUUUCAAGAAAAUUUAUAAUAAAAUUUUAUUUUUUAGUAAAAAAGCUAAAAUUUAUUUAAAAGACGAGAAGACCCUAUAAAUCUUUAUAUAUUUCAUUUUUAUAAUAAAUUAGAAUAUUUUUAUUUUGAAUAUUAAAUAUAUUUUAUUGGGGUGAUAUUAAAAUUUAAUAAACUUUUAAUAAAAAAUUUCAUUAAUUUAUGAAUUAUUGAUCCAUUAAUAGUGAUUAAAAAUUUAAGUUACUUUAGGGAUAACAGCGUAAUUUUUUUGGAGAGUUCUUAUCGAUAAAAAAGAUUGCGACCUC